GCUUACGGCUAUACAACUCUGUCUCUGCCCGAUGUCGUCUGAUCUCGGAAGCUAAGCAGUGUCGGGCCUGGUUAGUA
rnacentral:rRNA from 1 species